rnacentral:rRNA from 1 species
GACGAACGCUGGCGGCGCGCCUAACACAUGCAAGUCGAACGAGCGAGAGGAGGUUUACUUUCUCAAGCGAGUGGCGAACGGGUGAGUAACGCGUGAGGAACCUGCCUCAAAGAGGGGGACAACAGUUGGAAACGACUGCUAAUACCGCAUAAGCCCACGACCCGGCAUCGGGGAGAGGGAAAAGGAGCAAUCCGCUUUGAGAUGGCCUCGCGUCCGAUUAGCUAGUUGGUGAGGUAAUGGCCCACCAAGGCGACGAUCGGUAGCCGGACUGAGAGGUUGAACGGCCACAUUGGGACUGAGACACGGCCCAGACUCCUACGGGAGGCAGCAGUGGGGAAUAUUGCACAAUGGGGGAAACCCUGAUGCAGCGACGCCGCGUGGAGGAAGAAGGUCUUCGGAUUGUAAACUCCUGUUGUGGAGGAAGAUAAUGACGGUACUCAACAAGGAAGUGACGGCUAACUACGUG